GUGCUCACUUUGGCAACACAUAAACUAAAAUUGGAACACUACAGAGAAGAUUGACAUGGCCCCCGAGCAAGGACGGCAUGCACAUUCAUGAGCGUUCCAUAUAUUUU